rnacentral:rRNA from 1 species
CCCGCUGAGUCGUCGAGUCCACCUACUCCCUCUCCUGCUAUAGCUGACCCGCCGAGCGCACCCGCCUCCCCUGGGUCUCCUCCGGCCACAUCCUCCCCUCCUGUUGUCAUCCACCAUCCACCCUCCCCUAGCAACACCCAUAGGAUGCUGACUCGCGCCAAGCGCGGUCUCUUCCAGCCCAUCGAUCGCAUGAACCUCCUGGUUUCCGACUCCUCCGUCUCUCCACUUCCCAAAACAUACCGGGGUGCUCUAAACGACCCACACUGGCGUCGUGCCAUGCAUGAUGAGUUCGAGGCGCUUGUCACUAACCGGACGUGGUCACUUGUUCCACGCCCACCACGUUCUCAUGUUGUUUCAGGGAAAUGGAUCUUCAAGCAUAAAUUCCAUUCGGAUGGACGGCUGGCUCGGUAUAAGGCUCGGUGGGUGGUCCGUGGCUACUCCCAACAGCCGGGCAUCGACUUCGACGAGACGUUCAGCCCGGUUGUCAAACCGGCCACCAUCCGCAUCGUCCUCACCAUCACCGUCUCC